rnacentral:rRNA from 1 species
UUGAACGCUGGCGGCAUGCCUUACACAUGCAAGUCGAACGGUAACGGGUCUUCGGAUGCUGACGAGUGGCGAACGGGUGAGUAAUACAUCGGAACGUGCCCGAUCGUGGGGGAUAACGCAGCGAAAGCUGUGCUAAUACCGCAUACGAUCUACGGAUGAAAGCAGGGGACCGCAAGGCCUUGCGCGGACGGAGCGGCCGAUGGCAGAUUAGGUAGUUGGUGGGAUAAAAGCUUACCGAGCCGACGAUCUGUAGCUGGUCUGAGAGGACGAACAGCCACACUGGGACUGAGACACGGCCCAGACUCCUACGGGAGGCAGCAGUGGGGAAUUUUGGACAAUGGGGGAAACCCUGAUCCAGCCAUGCCGCGUGCAGGAUGAAGGCCUUCGGGUUGUAAACUGCUUUUGUACGGAACGAAAAGAUCUCUUCUAAUAAAGGGGGUUCAUGACGGUACCGUAAGAAUAAGCACCGGCUAACUAC